AGGACGAACGCUGGCGGCGUGCUUAACACAUGCAAGUCGAGCGAUGAAGUUUCGCUUUUAGGGAAACGGAUUAGCGGCGGACGGGUGAGUAACACGUGGGUAACCUGCCUCAUAGAGAGGGAUAGGCUUCCCGAAAAGGGAAGAUUAAAUACCUCAUAAUAUCAUUCUUUCGCAUGUUAGAAUGAUCAAAAGGGAGCAAUCCGCUAUGAGAUGGACCCGCGGCGCAUUAGCUAGUUGGUGGGGUAACGGCCUACCAAGGCGACGAUGCGUAGCCGACCUGAGAGGGUGAUCGGCCACAUUGGGACUGAGACACGGCCCAGACUCCUACGGGAGGCAGCAGGUGGGGAAUAUUGCACAAUGGGGGAAACCCUGAUGCAGCAACGCCGCGUGAGUGAUGACGGCCUUCGGGUUGUAAAGCUCUGUUUCCAGGGACGAUAAUGACGGUACCUGGGGAGGAAGCCACGGCUAACUACGUG
rnacentral:rRNA from 1 species